CCUUGGAGUAACAGGAUGUGAAUCAAAAUGCCAUAAGGUGUUAGGACAGGCAUGGGAUAACAAAAGCGAUGAGUUUAAGUUUGAGAUUGCGAAGGUGGGGGAAAGGGCAAAAACCUUAUCACCUACAAAGCGAAAUCUAUUGAGUGUUUUAGCAAGUUUAUUUGAUCCUCUCGGAAUAGUUAGUCCAGUGAUUGUAUGUGCCAAAAUAUUGUUCCAAGAAGUAUGUGAGGAUAAAGUUGAUUGGGAUGAAAACUUCACUGAUGAGUCACUGCAUAAGUGGGAGAGUUGGUACAGGGAUUUGAUAGAAACUAAGGAAAUUACCAUUCCUCGCUGUAUAUAUCAACAUAGUGCAGAAGAUGUUUUGGAGUUUACCUUGCAUGGAUUUGGCGAUACGAGCAUGAAGGCAUACUGUGCAGUUGUAUAUUUUGUGUAUCGUACUAAUGUAGGAGUUUGUGCCCGCUUAUUGACAUCAAAGGCAAGAGUAGCUCCCUUAAAAGCAACUAGUAUUCGCAGGUUAGAGUUAAUGUCAGCGAGGCUCUAAGCGCAGAUUAUGAAGUCAGUAAAAGCAUCACUUGAAAACCAGGUUAGGAUAGAUAGUACCAAGUUUUGGUUUGACAGUAUGACAGCACUCUACUGGAUAAUGAACAGGGGUGAAUGGAAACAAUUUGUCCACCACCGAGUAAAUGAGAUCUUAAAGCUAACAAACAAGGGGAUUUGGGGGCAUUGUACCGGGGUUGAAAAUCCUGCUGAUAUUGGGUCUAGCAGUGUAAUUGCUUCACAACUGAAAGAUAACAAGCUAUGGUGGGUGGGCCACAUUAGCCAAAAAUUGAGGCUGCUGAUAAGACAAAGACAGUUUUGGAAGAUGAAUGAAAGUCUGUAGUAAUGGUUGUAGAGGUGACAGAGCCAUCUAGUGUAAGUAGAGUGAUUGACUUGAAUAAUUAUGGGACAGCGGAACGACUUUUUAGAGUAACAGCUUGGGUACUUAGGUUUGGAUUUAAUAUACGAGCAAAAGCAAGGGGCAUUGAUAGGCAAAGUGGAGAGUUGACAGUGAAUGAGUUAGUUGAGGCAGAGAGUAUAUGGAUUAAAGAGGCUCAGGCAGGGUUGAAAGUAGAUAGAAAGUACACCCAGCUGAGUAAUAGUUUAGGUUUGAUAGAAGAGGAAGGCAUUCUGAGAUGUAAAGGUAGAUUACAUAAUUCUGAGUGAGUUAGAGUUUAAUACCAAACACCCAAUCAUUAUACCCAAGGACCACAGACUGACUGAAUUGAUUGUGCAGAAAUGUCACAGUGAAGUGCAUCAUUGUGGUGUACGGGCAACCUUAGGAAGAUUAAGGACAAAAUAUUGGGUUGUGAAAGGUGGUGAAGCGGAUUUUAGGUAGAUGCGUCACCUGUAAGAGAUUAG